UCUCUGGUGGUCUGGUGGCUAAGACUCUAUGUUUCCAAUGCAGGGAGCCUGGGUUCAAUUCCUGGUCAGGGAA
rnacentral:tRNA from 1 species